rnacentral:rRNA from 1 species
UACGUAGGGGGCAAGCGUUGUCCGGAAUCAUUGGGCGUAAAGAGCGUGUAGGCGGUCCGGUCAGUCGGUUGUGAAAGUCAAGGGCUCAACCCUUGAAUGCCGGCCGAUACUGCCGGGCUAGAGUCCGGAAGAGGUGAGUGGAAUUCCUGGUGUAGCGGUGAAAUGCGCAGAUAUCAGGAGGAACACCAAUUGCGAAGGCAGCUCGCUGGGACGUUACUGACGCUGAGACGCGAAAGCGUGGGGAGCGAACAGG